UAAAAUUACAGUAAAGUAAAACUAGAGCGACAUGAAUGCAACAUUAGUCUUAAUCCUUUGCGCUUUAUUGGUAGCUAAUCACUCAGUUGAAGGUAAGAAUUCUAGUUAUCACUUUUUAUUUCGAAAAUAAAGAAUUAUAAAAUUUUAUAUGCUAAAUUAGAAGUCAAUAUUAUCGUGUGAAUUUGAGAGUUCUGGAGAUGAAAUUUAAUCCACGAUUAUUGCAAAGGACUUUAAAACUCAUAAUAUGUUUUUGCACAAACAACUUCCUUACAAUCUCGUGUAUCAAAACGUACAUGUUGUAUCAUUGGCGUCGAUAAAUUUAUUUUUUUGCUUAGCAUAGUACUUACUUUCCCCCUUUUUUGGCUAGAAAUUAAGUUGUUUCUUUUUUAAUUUAUAAACAGCUAAAUUAGCAAACCAUUACAGAACAUUGAUUUAUUCUUUUGUAACCUUAGAUCGCUGCCCUAUUGACAUUCACCAUUUGAUUUAUCUUUUUUAAGUAUUUUUUUAAAUGAGAUUUGAACUUAACAAAUGCUUAAACUCAAUUUGAAUCUUUCAGAUUGUAUUCCUGUCAUGUAAUGUUGUCAUUUUAGCGAUAUAUUUAACAUUUCCAUAAAACGCAACACACAACACCAUGAACAAUUCACCAUUUGUUUCAUGAAAUAUCCUGUUUCAAGUCAAGAAUAUGGCAGUUGAUAUUAGAAUUCCGUUUUUAUGUAUGUUGGCGUGUUUAGUUUUUUUUUUUUUUUUUGUUGCUACUUCUGUGUUUCUGUCUUUUCCAGGGUUGAUGUGUUUCCCUCGGUUUUGGUUUGAAACCCUUAUUUGUUUUCUCUCAAUCAAUUUAGAACUUUUGAACAGCGAUAUACUACUGUUGUCAAUAUUAAAAAUGACGAAAAGUAAAAAAAAAUAUAUAUAUAUACAGAGUUACAGUAUCCAUUUUCUAAAAAGUUAAGUCAUUUUUUCUCGAAAUUUGUAGAAAGGAUAAUUUUGAAAGAAAAAAAAAUUCUUCUGCUUCCGUAGACUGUUAUUUUUAUCUAUAUGUUACAGGUGAAUGGAAAUUAUUUCAUCAUUCAAGAUCCUGCUCUCAUAAAAAACAUUCGAGAACAGGUAUGUACAAAACACAUUUAAUUGACAGUUACAGGAUCUGCUUACCCUUCCGGAACACCUCAGAUCAUCUUCAGUUGUUUUUUUUUGGUUCGUGUUGCUUAGUCUUUAGUUUUCGUUGUUGUGUCUUUUGUACUAUUUUUGUCUGUUUAUUUUUUAGCCAUAACGUUGUCAGUUUAUGUUCGGUUUAGAAGUUUAUGACUGUCCCUCUGGUAUCUAUCUCUCUUUUACAAACCUUUAUUUGACUUCGGUGACGUUCUUUAAUCUUUUAAGUUGGCGGAGAGACUAAAUGUUGGAUAAGAGAUUUGUUAAAGAUUUCUGAGUCAAUUAACUCUUAAAUUUAAAUUAAAAAAAUUAGGGAUUACAGGCAUAAAUUAAAAUAUAUUGAAAUAAUAGAAAUAUAGUUAUCUUACAUAGUUUAUUAAGGGACACUCAAUUGUAUCAUACAUCAUUAUACGAUGGAAUUAGUUUAUAUAGAGAAAUUGAUUGAUAAAUAAAUACUUUAGAUAAUAAUAGAAAAAGGAUUGUCACUGGUCAGCUUUAUAUUGUUGAAAAAUCAUAAAAGCACAAUUUUUUUUCGUAUGCAAUAAAGUUGCUUGCUCUUGAUCUUAAAAAGAAUGUUUCCAAAAAUAAAUUAGAUACAUUUUAUGACAUGUAAUAUUUAAAGUUUUAAUCGUUAGAUUUCGAGUUUUGGUGUGUUUUGAUUUUUGACAAGACAUUUUUAAACUAAAAAUAUAUAUUUGUGAAGCAAACCCUCUAUCUCUUUAAAUAUAGAACCGUUUGACAGAACAAACAAACACACCAACACACAUUAUGUUUGUAAUUUUUGUAUUUACAAAUAUAAAGUAGAAAUAUAAGCAAAUAGUGAAGAUUGAAAAAAGAUCUUUUACAUUAAAGUUAUUGUUGAAAUGGAUGAUAUUUCUGAUUUAAUUUUAAUACGAACAAUUGCGAACCAAGAUGGUGUUUAUAUGACAAUAUCCUUACCGCAUAUUACUGUAGAAACAAAUUAUUUUAGCGGAAACUUCAAUCCGAGUUUAUCUCUUUCAAUUCCACUUAGUGGCGAUUUGAUUUCGCGACUUUCAAAUUCACAUGAGGUAGUUAGAAAAGGAAUUAUUACAGUUUUUAAAUUUUCGCGACAAUUUCAAGUAAUUUUCUACUCGCAAAAAUCGCGAAAAUAAAUCGCAAACGAAAUAAGUUGCUUAACAAUAUAUGGAAUCAUUGAGAUCAAAGAUAUUUAGCUCAGGUAUGACAAAAUUUGUUGUAUAUCAUAUUGGUUUUGUUUCUUUUCAUUUUAGAUUCACCAAUACCAUCGUCUACCAUAAUGUCUACACCAAUAACAUCAAUACCUAUACCAUCAACACCACGAACAACAACAAUCCCUAGACCUGGAUAAAUAAAGACGACUUCAUGAUAAUAACCGUAAAAGUUAAAGAAAUGGUGUAUACCUUUACAAGCGUAUUCAGUUCUUAUAAGCACAUUGAAUCAUAUAUUAAACAAUGUUUUAUUAGCCGCCAUAUUCUGUAUGUGUUUGCCUGUCCCAAGUCAGGAGCCUUUAAUGUAAUCGUUGUCGAUUGUUUUGUGUUGAAUAUUUGUUUUUGUUUAUAUUUGUACAUAAAUUAGGUCUUUCGUUUUCUCGUUUAAAUUGUCAUUUCGGUGUAAUUUAUCGCUGACUAUGUGGUAUUGGCUUUACUCAUUGUUGAAGGUCGUACCUAGACCUAAAGUAUUUAGUUUUUGUGUCAUUUGGUCUCUUGUAGAUAUUUGUCUCUAAGAAAUUGUGUUUACUGGAAUCAUUUCAAAUAAAUUUUUCAUUCUCUAAUCGAACCAAAUUUGAAAGAUAAGUACCAUUUAAUUUCACACCUAUGUGUAUAUUAAAUAUUUGUAAAGGCCAUGUGUUAUAUAUGUUAAGAAGAAGAAUUCAGAAAUUACC
rnacentral:lncRNA from 1 species